rnacentral:rRNA from 1 species
CCUACGGGAGGCAGCAGUGGGGAAUAUUGCACAAUGGGGGAAACCCUGAUGCAGCGACGCCGCGUGAGUGAAGAAGUAUUUCGGUAUGUAAAGCUCUAUCAGCAGGGAAGAAAAUGACGGUACCUGAUUAAGAAGCCCCGGCUAACUACGUGCCAGCAGCCGCGGUAAUACGUAGGGGGCAAGCGUUAUCCGGAUUUACUGGGUGUAAAGGGGGCGCAGACGGCAGCGCAAGUCUGGAGUGAAAUGCCGGGGCUUAACCCCGGGACUGCUUUGGAAACUGUGAAGCUAGAGUGCAGGAGGGGUAAGUGGAAUUCCUAGUGUAGCGGUGAAAUGCGUAGAUAUUAGGAGGAACACCAGUGGCGAAGGCGGCUUACUGGACUGUAACUGACGUUGAGGCUCGAAAGCGUGGGGAGCAAACAGGAUUAGAUACCCCUGUAGUC